rnacentral:rRNA from 1 species
AUUGAACGCUGGCGGCAGGCCUAACACAUGCAAGUCGAGCGAGCGGCGGACGGGUGAGUAAUGUCUGGGAAACUGCCUGAUGGAGGGGGAUAACUACUGGAAACGGUAGCUAAUACCGCAUACCCUCAGAUGUGCACAGGUGGGAUUAGCUGGUAGGUGGGGUAACGGCUCACCUAGGCGCCGAUCCCUAGCUGGUCUGAGAGGAUGACCAGCCACACUGGAACUGAGAAACGGUCCAGACUCCUACGGGAGGGAGCAGGGGGGAAUUUUGCACAAUGGGCGCAAGCCUGAUGCAGCCAUGCCGGGUGUGUGAAGAAGGCCUUCGGGUUGGAAAGCACUUUCAGCGGGGAGGCGUUACCCGCAGAAGAAGCACCGGCUAACUCCGUGUCAGCAGCCGCGGUAAUUC